CUUACGACUACUUAGAGAAUAGUUGUAUUUCAUGUUAUCUGUAUAUAUUUAUAUAUAUUUAAAAAUAUUAUAUUUAUGCAAUGGUCAGUAUCGAUGACGUCAAAUCCUCCAGUUCAAGUUAUACGUUGCAUGGGAGCGGCGUUAACAUAAGCAGUAAUGCUUGUUCACCAAUCCCAAUUCAUCUUCAUGAAUAAAAAUAUGUUUAAAUCAUAUGUACAGAUUUGAUGCUCAUUACACCUGUCCUUGACCUUUCCAGGUACCUGCCCCCCGGGGUUCGUUCCUGUCGGUGACACAGAGACAGUGUAGUCCGUGUCCGGUGGGGACGUUUCAGCAACAUGAAGACAGCCUGAGUUGCGUCCUUUGUCCCGACGGAUUCUCCACCUCCUCCGAAGGGUCUUCCUCACCGUCCAGUUGUAAAGGCACCUGUGGGGCAGGAAGUUAUUCAUCAGACGGCCUUGAACCCUGCUGGUUAUGCCCCCUAGGGACAUAUCAAGGCAUGUCGGGAAGUACACAGUGUGAUCAUUGUCCGCAAGGGCAGACAACUCAUGAAGGCGCUAAAAAUAAGCAAGACUGUAAUCGAUCUUUUACGUGACCUAUCUUUUCAUGCUAUGCUGAUGGCUCUGGAUUAAACCAGUUUAUCGGGAUGGAAUCAAGAUGUUCUAACAAUGUGGAAAUGUAUCUUGCUAUCAGAACAAUAUAUGCAGAAUCACCUGGAUAAGAUGGUUUCGUCGAAAUAUAUAGUAAUAAAAUAUACAAACGA